rnacentral:rRNA from 1 species
UACGUAGGGGGCUAGCGUUGUCCGGAUUUAUUGGGCGUAAAGAGCGUGUAGGCGGCCAGGUAGGUCUGCUGUGAAAACUCGAGGCUCAACCUCGAGACGUCGGCGGAAACCAUCUGGCUAGAGUCCGGAAGAGGAGAGUGGAAUUCCUGGUGUAGCGGUGAAAUGCGUAGAUAUCUGGAGGAACACCGGUGGCGAAGGCGGCAUCCUGGACCGGUAUUGACGCUGAUGCGCGAAAGCCAGGGGAGCAAACGGG